AGAGAAGGCGGGGGGCAGGCCUAACACAUGCAAGUCGAACGAACCUUUCGGGGUUAGUGGCGGACGGGUGAGUAACACGUGGGAACGUGCCUUUAGGUUCGGAAUAACUCAGGGAAACUUGUGCUAAUACCGAAUGUGCCCUUCGGGGGAAAGAUUUAUCGCCUUUAGAGCGGCCCGCGUCUGAUUAGCUAGUUGGUUGAGGUAAUGGCUCACCAAGGCGACGAUCAGUAGCUGGUCUGAGAGGAUGAUCAGCCACAUUGGGACUGAGACACGGCCCAAACUCCUACGGGAGGCAGCAGUGGGGAAUCUUGCGCAAUGGGCGAAAGCCUGACGCAGCCAUGCCGCGUGAAUGAUGAAGGUCUUAGGAUUGUAAAAUUCUUUCACCGGGGACGAUAAUGACGGUACCCGGAGAAGAAGCCCCGGCUAACUUCGUG
rnacentral:rRNA from 1 species